UACCCCCUGGUAAAAAUAGGCCGCGAAUGGCGCUGGUUAGUACGCCAGGAAUGGAGCUGGAAAGUCAGCGAGGCUAACAAAGAG
ncrna:unclassified sequences RT-18 RNA